CGCAGCCUGCGGAUGUAAAUAAGAUAUCAAGAGUCUGAGGACAAAAAGAGAGAGCGGAAUAAUGAAGCUUGGGUGUGGGUUCUGCAGCCUACUGCUGUUUCAUGCCAUAGGAAUGAGGAUGAUGAUGUGGCGAUGAAGGACCCAAGGACAGACCUGUGUGAAUCCUAAACAGCUGGAACAGCUUUUUUGUGAUGCAUACCAUCCCUAAAGCAUGCCAGUGAGAUGAUGUGCUCGGCCAUGCAGAAGGCUCUGGGAGCAGGGAUGAAGCUGAAAGUGAAGCGGCGCUACAUUGUGGUCUUUCUGUCUCUCCUCACCCUGUCAGUAAUGAUGAUAAACACAUAUUCACCUUUGCCAUGUGAACAGAAAUGUUUGCUAUCACAAGGGCCUCACCAUAACCAACCCACUGAGGCAGAAGCAAGGAACUCUAAGCAUCUACCGCCAAACAUUCAUAGGGGAUCUUGGAAGCUUUCUAAAAUGAAAGCGUCAGAAAAGCACAUACUAGUAAUUGAUGACCACCAACAUAGAGGCAGUAAACUACAGGAAAAUGUCCAUUUUUCAACCAGAAGUAAUGCUAAAAAUACGUUUG